AUUAACCGGAUUAGAUACCCUGGUAGUCCACGCCCUAAACGAUGUCUACUAGUUGUCGGGUUUUAAUUAACUUGGUAACGCAGCUAACGCGUGAAGUAGACCGCCUGGGGAGUACGGUCGCAAGAUUAAAACUCAAAGGAAUUGACGGGGACCCGCACAAGCGGUGGAUGAUGUGGAUUAAUUCGAUGCAACGCGAAAAACCUUACCUACCCUUGACAUGUCAGGAAUCCUCGAGAGAUUGAGGAGUGCCCGAAAGGGAACCUGAACACAGGUGCUGCAUGGCUGUCGUCAGCUCGUGUCGUGAGAUGUUGGGUUAAGUCCCGCAACGAGCGCAACCCUUGUCAUUAGUUGCUACGAAAGGGCACUCUAAUGAGACUGCCGGUGACAAACCGGAGGAAGGUGGGGAUGACGUCAAGUCCUCAUGGCCCUUAUGGGUAGGGCUUCACACGUCAUACAAUGGUCGGGACAGAGGGUCGCCAACCCGCGAGGGGGAGCCAAUCCCAGAAACCCGAUCGUAGUCCGGAUCGCAGUCUGCAACUCGACUGCGUGAAGUCGGAAUCGCUAGUAAUCGCGGAUCAGCAUGUCGCGGUGAAUACGUUCCCGGGUCUUGUACACACCGCCCGUCACACCAUGGGAGUGGGUUUUACCAGAAGUAGUUAGCCUAACCGCAAGGGGGGCGAUUACCACGGUAGGAUUCAUGACUGGGGUGAAGUCGUAACAAGGUAGCCAAUC
rnacentral:rRNA from 1 species